UACGGGGGGGGCAAGCGUUGUUCGGAAUUACUGGGCGUAAAGGGCUCGUAGGUGGCCAACUAAGUCAGACGUGAAAUCCCUCGGCUUAACCGGGGAACUGCGUCUGAUACUGGAUGGCUAGAGUUUGGGAGAGGGAUGCGGAAUUCCAGGUGUAGCGGUGAAAUGCGUAGAUAUCUGGAGGAACACCGGUGGCGAAGGCGGGUCUCUGGGCCGAUACUGACGCUGAGGAGCGAAAGCGUGGGGAGCGAACAGG
rnacentral:rRNA from 1 species